CAAAGCCACAUGCCCCUUCUCCCUCUCAGUUAAGUUUCACCCUUCCUCCUUAAGGUAAGACUCUCUAAUUAUCUUCUUCCACAAUAUAUAUAUAUAUUAUAGGAUAUGACCAAUGCUUCACACCUCAUCAACAAUUCCUCUCAUCUCCUAUCUUCCUUUCUGUGUAGAAAUGAAGCUCAGGCACUCUUAUUGUACUCCCUUCUCCAUCUUCGUUUUCAUAACUCUCCCCUGCUUGAUCUCUGCACAAGCUUGCCAGAAUUCCUGCGGCAAAAUACCCAUCAGUUAUCCAUUUGGUACUGGCCUUGGCUGUGGCGAUCCACGAUUCCAGAAAUAUGUAACUUGCAAUCAAGACAAGCUCACCUUGACGACCCAUACUGGCUGCUAUCCUGUCACUAACAUAGACUACACCAAUCAAGUUAUAUACAUCUCAGAUCCUUCUAUGUCAACCUGUGCUUGCACCCAACCAAGCAAAGGCUUUAGCCUGGACUGGGAUGCCCCUUUCUCUUUUCAUGAUGAUAGCGUCUUUACAUUGCUCGACUGCUCCACCACUUCGUCGCCCAUUUACAAAACUAAUGGCCAUAGUGAUAAUAAUGGCACCGCAGUCCCUCAAUGUGAUAGAACAGGUGCACCCAUUUGCGGUUUCUUGUUCUCCUGCCAAGCUAUCAGCAUGCUCAAUCUCCCAAUCUCUACUUGCUGUGUUUACACCCCGGUUGAUCUCGGACCGUCAUUUGAAAUGGAUUUACAGAAGCUGCAAUGCAGUUCUUAUUCUGGGAUUUAUAGCUUUAGUGGUCAGGAGGCUAAUCCCGAAAAUUGGAAAUAUGGGAUAGCACUAAAGUACAAGUUUAAUGUGUAUAAUGACUAUCCUAGUUCAUGUGCUGAUUGCGAGGGGAGCCAUGGGGUUUGUGGGUAUGGUGGAGCUUACAAUUCUUUUAUCUGUAACUGUCCUAAUGGUCUGAACGCUACAUCAGACUGUUUCUUUGGAUAUAAUCAUGGUUCAAGCCUUCUCAAAUGGCAGACAGGCAACCGGUUGAUAUGUUCCUUGGCUUUCUUUCUGGUUUGGGCCUUCUUGUAGAGUGUGUGAUGACGAUCAUCAGGGGAUGGAAUUCUAGACCCGAAAGUAAAUUGAAAAUUCUGUUUAGCCAAGGUUAUUGUUUGCAUGAAGAGCACAAUUACGCCGGUUGUAUGUAAGAAAUUUCCAAAAGCCAAUAGUUUCACUUUUCUUUUUGAACUUUUCAGUCUCUGUUUUGGUAAAGAAUACAUGGCAGUGGGAUAUCUAUAUUUUAUGACUCAUUUCAGAAAGUAACUUAAACUUUAGUCUCCCAAGUCUUGAAUUGAAACAAUGAAUUCUUUUAAAUGUGCGUGAGACAAUGAACAAUAUAUAUAUAUAUAUAUUUUUCCUUGAACAUGUAUGAGCCACAAACUCAAUGCAUGUAGCGCCUCUUCCAGUUGUGAAGCCAGAAUAUGGGAUUAAGGGGGCAAACUUUCACAGAAAAAAAUUAUGUAAGGGCUCAUUCAAUUUAAACUCCGAAAUCGAAAUUAGAAUGAUUAUUUGUUUCUAGUUUGAUUGAAUAAGAAAUUGAUAAUUGAUUCCCUGGCAUUAUAGCAAUUGAAAUCAAUAUUAUAUUAUAAAAUUUAAUUCAAAACUCAUGUCUAGUAUAAUUUCAUAGUUAAAAUUCAUUUACCCUUACUUUCAAAAAUACUCUAAAUCGUAAAACAUCUUUAUUAAAUUAUUCAACUGUUAAAUAUUUAACUUUUACGGGGUGGGUUUUGAGAAUAC
rnacentral:misc_RNA from 1 species